rnacentral:misc_RNA from 1 species
UAGAUUUGAGAAGAAGAUUACAUUUCAUUUUCUGUUCAACAUAUUCAUGCCAUAGCAUCUUAGAAAAUGAAACAUUUAUUCAGUUUCUGCAAGAAAAUGAUAUCCCUGAAAUCAUCUUUUAAGACCCAACCAAGGGAUCAUGUGAUGAGAGACACUACACAAACAACAAGAAAGAGUCCAAGAUUUCAGUUAUUAGCUAGACUGUAGUCAUAGGCAAACAUUUAGAGAUCUUCAUUUCCAGGUUCUGACUCGAUGACUUUCCGAGGAUCGAAUGUGGUUGUGUUACCUGCUUCAGAACCAUUUGUGGAUGUUGGUCUUGUUCCAUGGCCUUCACCUUCUGCGGUUCCUGCAUUGCCAAGCACACUGCCAGCAGCUGCUGCAGAUUCUGCUAGUUGCCUCAGUUUUAGUUCCUUGAAGAUAUUCUGCUUAAAGCUGGCAACAAUAAGUUGAAUAGGAUUAUAUGCUAUUAAAGGCCCAACAACAGUACCACCGAAAACACGGCCAUCAGGUUUUGCCAGGGAAACACUUAACACGCCAGUUUUGCGAUGUGCACCGCUUGUUUCAUCAAGUGUGAAAGACCCAGAUAAGGAGAGAAUUUCAAAGAGGCCCUGCAGAAAAACAAUAUACUCUUUUUAGUUUCUUUGCAUUAGAGUAGCUAGUUGAGGAUUUGGAGCCUUGCAGAACAUCAAAAUAUACAUAAGUAAAUAGAUCAUUCAAUGCACAAGGCUUCUCGCAUUGCAGGAUCUAGAGGAGAUUAGAUGUGAGAUCAAACCCUAUAUCGCCAAAUUCCACCAUAAGAAGGUUCAGUUAUAGUCGCAAUUGAGACAGCACCAGUAGCAGAAAGAAUGCAAACUGCUAGAGGACCCCUUUCAGCAAAUGAUGAAAUCUUACUUAAAAUAUCCUGAUUAUAGUGAAGAAAAGAGAUCUGCUUAGAUGUAAGCCAAACAGAAUGAAGAAACAAGCCAAGUAAUGGCAGGCAAAAUUAGCAUAUAAAAAUACCAGCAAAACAUCAUCUAACAAUACCUCUCCAGGAUCCACAAGCAUUACAUGAGGAGUGAAGCUUCCUCCUGCUGUUUCUGCUUCAUAAUCACCAAGGGAAGCCAAGAGUUGCAGUCUACCAGAACCAUAGGGACGCCUUCUGCCUCGCUUCUCAUAAGUCCCUGAUAGUGAAGAUGUAAAGUCAGGUGGAGGAGACACAGGCAGCGAUACUGUUUCUGAAUCCAUAUCGAACUUCUUCGGUCUCCCUCUCUUUCUUUUCCCUAUUAUUUCAGCACUCACCGAGCCUCCUCCAGAACCUCCUGCAACUGCACCACCACUACCGCCAGCUUUUGGCUUUUUGGCUUCCUGGUGCACCACCUGGCUCACCAGAGAGUCAUUCUUUGUGGUAACCGGAGACAGCUGUGAGGCUUUGGUUAUCAUGCUUUUAUCUUCCAUGCAUGCAACAGCAGCUUCUCUUUGCCUUGUAUGCAUAUAAACACACACGCACAUGUAUAUAUGGUGAAAAAUAGAGAGAGAAAGUAUAAAUCUUGACCUCUCACUAUAAUCCAUUUGUAUUAAGAAAGGUGAGGAAGAGAGGAAGGAAAGGGUUUUGAACUUACUGGUGGGUAUCGAAAAGGUGCCAUAAAGGAAAACUUGACCGGUUUUUCUUCAUCCGAUGAAUAGCCUGAAAUCUUUCAAAAUUGACCAGGUGCACUGGCUUUUAAGGAAUAAUGGGCAAAAUUGUAUGAUUUUGUUUGGCAUGUGAUUUAAUAAUUUUACGGUUAUAAUAUUUACUUGUUUUUACUAAUUGUAAAGGAGAGAGGAUCUGCCUUAAUUGAUAAAAAUUAUCAAAUAUUUUUGCGUAAUUUAGUAAUAAAAUAAUUAUUAGUUGUUACAAUGAAUCUUACAUUUUUUAAAUAAUUUUAAGGGAUUUAAUUUCCAAAUAUGAACAAUGCAUCCUAUGAAAAAUAUUGAAUAUAUAUAUAUUUUAAUGAUUUUGAAUUUAAAGCAAGAUGCAUUAUGGUUGUAGAGUCAACCAGGUUGAGCACUAUUGUAUUGCACUUAUUUUGAUUUCAAGCUCUUUCAGAACUAUGCCAACUCACAAUGAUAAAACAAAUCAUUUCUAUUGACUGGAAAACAAGAAUACACAAUUAAAAAAAAUAAAAAAAAACAACUAAAUGUUUCUAUACUCUCUUAUUUUUGUAAAGCAAAAACAAAACAAAGUCAUCAACAUCUCUAAAGAGGAGCUGUAAAAUUAAUAUUGGGUCCUCAUUCCAUUUCAUCCAAAUGUCCGAACAACUCUUUCCAGUGAUAUGAUGCUUCUUCUGGUGUACGAAAAGUCCAAAUGUGGGGCUUGGCUCUCUUACGAGUGUCUAAAAUUUCCUGCAUUUGAUAACCCAUGAAAAUGCUUUCAACGGCAGAGCACAAAUAGAAACCUAAUCAAACUAUGUACUUACUUGAAGAGGGAAAAAAAAAGAAGAAAAACGGAUCUCUAACAUGCAUUGCGAUUUUGAAAUCCAUGUCAUUAAACAAAAACGCGUUAUUACGUCAUGAGAUCCCUACCAAUAACUAGUUUAAAAAAACAAUGGGCUGUCCGUUAGACCAUAGAAAGAUGAUUAUUUAAAAUUCUGAAUUUAUCCAAAUGCAAUCUUAAAAAUAUUUAAAGCCCAAAAGUAAUAGAUUGGAGAUACAAAACUUAUGCAUUGAUUCUCUCUCCUUGUACAAUUAUAAUGUUCUCGACGAAGUUUUAUUUAUAAUGUUCUCAACAAAGUUUUCUUUUUUCUAUCUGCUAUAUAUGCAUAUAAUUCUCAUCAAUGCUCCUCAUUUGUAGCCUUAAAUAAAAAAACUCCACCCAUCCAUCGGAAUGACUAGAGAAACCACUCAACUAUUUAUUUUAGGCAUAAAGACUUUAGACAACCUGCUUCAAAUAAUAAUGUAAAGCAUCACAGUAUAAACAUUAAUUCAUCCAAAUGUCACGUAUCAUCUCCAUAGCUAUUAAAGGCUCAAGACGCAGUAA